rnacentral:rRNA from 1 species
GUAGGUGGCAAGCGUUGUCCGGAAUUAUUGGGCGUAAAGCGCGCGCAGGCGGUCCUUUAAGUCUGAUGUGAAAGCCCACGGCUCAACCGUGGAGGGUCAUUGGAAACUGGAGAACUUGAGUACAGAAGAGGAAAGCGGAAUUCCACGUGUAGCGGUGAAAUGCGUAGAGAUGUGGAGGAACACCAGUGGCGAAGGCGGCUUUCUGGUCUGUAACUGACGCUGAGGCGCGAAAGCGUGGGGAGCAAACAGGAUUAGAUACCCUGGUAGUCCACGCCGUAAACGAUGAGUGCUAAGUGUUAGGGGGUUUCCGCCCCCCUUAGUGCUGCAGCUAACGCACUAAGCACUCCGCCUGGGAGUACGGCCGCAAGGCUG